UACAGAGGUCUCAAGCGUUGUUCGGAUUCAUUGGGCGUAAAGGGUGCGUAGGCGGCGCGGUAAGUCGGGUGUGAAAUCUCGGAGCUUAACUCCGAAACUGCAUUCGAUACUGCCGUGACUCGAGUCCGGUAGGGGAGUAUGGAAUUCCCGGUGUAGCGGUGAAAUGCGCAGAUAUCAGGAGGAACACCGGUGGCGAAGGCGGGUCUCUGGGCCGAUACUGACGCUGAGGAGCGAAAGCGUGGGGAGCGAACAGG
rnacentral:rRNA from 1 species